UAAUUGAAGAGUUUGAUCAUGGCUCAGAUUGAACGCUGGCGGCAGGCCUAACACAUGCAAGUCGAGCGGUAACAUUUCUAGCUUGCUAGAAGAUGACGAGCGGCGGACGGGUGA
rnacentral:rRNA from 1 species